CUAAGAAUAUUCCGCAAUGGACGAAAGUCUGACGGAGCGACGCCGCGUGGAUGAAGAAGGCCGAAAGGUUGUAAAAUCCUUUUGUCGGGGAAGAAUAAGCGUGGGAGGGAAUGCCCGCGUGAUGACAUGAACCGGCGAAUAAGCCCCGGCUAACUACGUGCCAGCAGCCGCGGUAACACGUAGGGGGCGAGCGUUGUUCGGAAUUACUGGGCGUAAAGGGCAUGUAGGCGGUUUUGUAAGCCUGGCGUGAAAUUCUGCAGCUUAACUGUAGGACUGCGCUGGGAACUGCGAGACUGGAGUCACGGAGAGGGAGCCAGAAUUCCAGGUGUAGGGGUGAAAUCUGUAGAUAUCUGGAAGAAUACCAAUGGCGAAGGCAGGCUUCUGGCCGAUGACUGACGCUGAGGUGCGAAAGCGUGGGUAGCAAACAG
rnacentral:rRNA from 1 species